GCUUAAUACAUGCAAGUCGAGCGGAGUUAUAUUGUAGCUUGCUAUGGUAUAACUUAGUGGCAGACGGGUGAGUAAUGUAUAGGAAUCUACCUAGUAGUACGGAAUAAUUGUUGGAAACGGCAACUAAUACCGUAUACGCCCUACGGGGGAAAAAUUUAUUGCUAUUAGAUGAGCCUAUAUUAGAUUAGCUAGUUGGUGGAGUAAUAGCCUACCAAGGCAAUGAUCUAUAGCUGAUCUGAGAGGAUGAUCAGCCACACUGGAACUGAGAUACGGUCCAGACUCCUACGGGAGGCAGCAGU
rnacentral:rRNA from 1 species